rnacentral:lncRNA from 1 species
UAUAAUCUAUAUAUAAUAAUAUAUAAAAUAAAAAAAACAAACCUUUUUUUUCUUCUUCCACUUUGGCGACAUCAUUUCUUCAUACUUCAUUGUAGAAAGAUCAAAGCUUUUGACAAACUCAGAAAUAUUUAAUCAAAUUCAAAAUCAUGGAGGUGACAACUAUAAUCAUCACCAUACUAAUAAACACAACCACCACUAACAACAAGAAGAAGAAUAUUAUCAAAUAAAACCUUUUCUCAUGAACUAAUAACAGUAACAGUAUCUAAGAAACUAAGGAAGGUGCGAUAAAGGUGAUUGGGAUGAGUUGCGAUCUAAUUGAUGAUUUCUAGGAUCUGAUCAUGGACUUUCCAGAUUCAUCUCAUUCGCAAUCGUCGAUUGUCGUCGGUGUCGUUAAUCGAGACUCCACCGUCGCCGUUAACUAAAGAUUUCAUUAUCCUUUGCCUGAUCAAAAUAUAACACUUUAAAAUAUCUACAUCAUCAAAGCAAAAAUAUUUGUGUUCAUUAUUUCCUCUUUCACAUCAUCAUGAAACUGUCAUGAUUUUCUGGAAAUUAAGGACACCCAAUACUAAACAAGAGCAGGAGGAAUCUCGGUCAUGAACUCCCACGAACGAGGAACACCUUUCCAUCAGCAAACAAUAGCAACUAUCACACCUCAGCUUAGUUGCAGCAUCUCUGUCGUCAUUGCAGUUCUAAUGGGAUUCUUUGCUCUUCUUGUUCUUGUUCCUAUUGUAUCAAUUUUUGGAGCGGUGCUGAUGAGUAAUAUUAAAGAAAAAAAACCAGAAACUAAAAAGAAGAAAGAAUAUAGAAGAAAUGGGUAAUGAACAAAAAUCUAGAAAUUGAUUUGAUAUUUGAUUAAUUGAUGAUGAGGAUGUUGAAGGUUCCUAAGUGUGAAGACCAGAAGAGGAAAUGGUGGCGGUGGGUAAGAGGAAGAAACGAUUUGCUACGUUGCUACAUCUGUUUGAUGAGUCAAUAUAUUACUUUUGCUGACUCAUCAAUAUUAUUAAAAGAAAAAAAAUCAUCUUGAUGCCACAGAAGCAUAAAUUGCCGGAUUUUCA